GACGAACGCUGGCGGCGUGCUUAACACAUGCCAGUCGAACGGAAAGGCCCCUUUGGGGGUACUCGAGUGGCGAACGGGUGAGUAACACGUGAGUAACCUGCCCUUGACUUCGGGAUAACUUCAUGAAACUGAGGCUAAUACCGGAUAGGAAUCCUUGCUGCAUGGUUGGGGGGGGUAAGCUUGUGCGGUUGUGGAUGGAAUCGCGGCUUAUCAGCUUGUUGGUGGGGUAGGGGCUUACCUAGGCAUUGACGGGUAGCCGGCCUGCGAGGGCGACCGGCCACAAUGGGACUGAGAUACGGCCCAGACUCCUACGGGGGGCAGGAGUGGGGAAUAUUGCACCAUGGGCGGGAGCCUGAUGCAGCAACGGCGCGUGCGGGAUGACGGCCUUCGGGUUGUAAACCGCUUUCAGCAGGGGCGAAGCUUGUGGUGACGGUACCUGCAGAAGAAGCACCGGCUAACUACGUG
rnacentral:rRNA from 1 species